rnacentral:rRNA from 1 species
UGGGGAAUUUUGGACAAUGGGCGAAAGCCUGAUCCAGCAAUGCCGCGUGUGUGAAGAAGGCCUUCGGGUUGUAAAGCACUUUUGUCCGGAAAGAAAUCCUCUGGGUUAAUACCUCGGGGGGAUGACGGUACCGGAAGAAUAAGCACCGGCUAACUACGUGCCAGCAGCCGCGGUAAUACGUAGGGUGCAAGCGUUAAUCGGAAUUACUGGGCGUAAAGCGUGCGCAGGCGGUUUUGUAAGACGGAUGUGAAAUCCCCGGGCUUAACCUGGGAACUGCAUUCGUGACUGCAAGGCUAGAGUAUGGCAGAGGGGGGUAGAAUUCCACGUGUAGCAGUGAAAUGCGUAGAGAUGUGGAGGAAUACCGAUGGCGAAGGCAGCCCCCGGGCCAAUACUGACGCUCAUGCACGAAAGCGUGGGGAGCAAACAGGAUUAGAUACCCUGGUAGUCCACGCCCUAAACGAUGUCAACUAGUUGUUGGGGAUUCAUUUCCUUAGUAACGUAGCUAACGCGUGAAGUUGACCGCCUGGGGAGUACGGUCGCAAGAUU